AAAAAAAGUGUUCUCUGUUUUAUGAAACAGCACAGUAUCUCAUCCCUUCCAAUCCCAUUCCACCCUCAGCGCUCGGCGCUCACUGCUGUUUUGCUAUCCACAAUCCUCACUUCGUUUGCUCAAUGGCAAUCCUUUCACUGCCGCUCGUAACUUCAAUCCUCAAAAAAUCUCCCAGGGAUUACAAACGCCCCCUCUCCUUCAUCCUAGCCGCCGGUCGGAGGACUAUUUACCCCAAUUCGCCUCUAAUUUUCCGGCGGAGGCGGUUUUCCUCCGCCGCUGCGAAGCUCUCUCUCCCUGCCAACGCCCAUGCCACGGAACAGGACAGCCAGAAGCCGGCGCUGUCGUCGUCGUCUACUCUAACUUUCCAGCAAGCCAUUCAGCGGCUGCAGGAAUAUUGGGCUUCUGUUGGAUGCGCUGUGAUGCAAUGCAGCAAUACUGAGGUUGGAGCUGGAACUAUGAAUCCUCUUACAUUUUUAAGGGUUCUUGGCCCAGAGCCAUGGAAUGUUGCGUAUGUAGAACCUAGUAUCCGGCCAGAUGAUAGUCGUUACGGUGAAAACCCAAAUAGACUUCAAAGGCACACACAAUUCCAGGUGAUAUUGAAGCCCGAUCCUGGGAAUUCACAAGACUUGUUCAUUCGGAGUUUAUCAGCCUUAGGUAUUGAUGUUAAUGACCACGACAUUCGUUUUGUCGAGGACAACUGGGAGAGCCCGGUAUUAGGUGCCUGGGGAUUGGGUUGGGAAAUUUGGAUGGAUGGAAUGGAGAUUACUCAGUUCACUUACUUCCAGCAGGCUGGAAGUCUUCCAUUGAUGCCUGUUUCAGUUGAAAUUACCUAUGGUCUUGAGCGAAUCAUUAUGUUGCUUCAGGGAGUUGAUCACUUCAAGAAAAUUCGAUAUGCUGAUGGAAUAACAUAUGGGGAGCUUUUUCUGGAAAAUGAGAAGGAGAUGAGUGCGUAUUAUCUAGAGCAUGCCAGUGUAGAUCACAUUCAUAGUCAUUUCGAUCAAUUUGAGGCUGAAGCUCGCCGCUUGCUUGACUUGGGCCUUGCGAUUCCUGCGUAUGAUCAGCUUUUGAAGACAUCUCAUGCUUUUAAUGUCUUGGACUCUAGAGGAUUUGUGGGGGUAACAGAACGUGCUCGUUAUUUUGGGCGUAUGCGUAGUUUAGCCCGCCAAUGUGCUCAACAGUGGUUAAAGACAAGGGAGUCUCUUGGGUACCCCUUGGGCAUUACUUCUAAUCCUAACCACCUUGGAUUCCAAGAAGAAGAUAUAGAGGAACUCAAGAUUAAGGUUUCUGAACGGCCUCGGCCUUUUAUUCUUGAAAUUGGGACGGAGGAGUUGCCGCCAAAUGAUGUUGUUAAUGCUUGCAAUCAACUAAAAGAUUUAGUCAAGCAGUUACUGGAUAAACAAAGAUUGAGUCAUGGAGAUGUGGAAACAUUUGGAACUCCACGUAGGCUUGUGGUCCAUGUCAAUGACCUGAUUGCCAAGCAGGUGGCCAAUGAAGUUGAGGUUCGGGGACCUCCAGCAUCGAAGGCAUUUGAUCAGCAAGGGAAUCCAACAAAGGCAGCCGAAGGUUUUUGCCGCAAAAAUGGAGUGCCUUUGAGCUCCUUGUACCAAAGAGUUGAUGGUAAAACAGAGUAUGUCUAUGUUCAAGCAGUGGAACCAUCUAGGCUCGCUUUGGAGGUGUUAUCUGAUGAGUUACCUGCGACCCUGAGUAAAAUAUCAUUCCCUAAGUCGAUGCGGUGGAACUCUGAGAUCAUGUUCAGUAGACCUAUUCGAUGGAUUUUGGCUCUGCAUGGAGAUUCAGUGGUUCCCUUCACAUUUGCUGGUGCUCUUAGUGGGGAUCUUUCUCAUGGGCUUCGAAACACUCCAUCAGCUACUAUUAGGGUAGAAAGUGCAGAAUGUUAUACUGAUGUUAUGGAGAAUGCUGGGAUAGCUAUCAGCAUUGAGCAACGCAAGAAGAUAAUUUUGGAGAAAGCUACUUCCAUUGUAAAAGGCAUUAAUGGGUCCAUUGUAAUGCAAAGUGGUUUACUUGAUGAGGUGGUAAAUCUUGUUGAAGCACCCCACCCAGUUCUUGGAAAAUUCAGUGAAUCCUUCCUGGAGCUUCCAAAAGACCUGCUAAUAAUGGUGAUGCAGAAGCAUCAGAAGUAUUUUGCAAUAACUGAUCAGGAUGAAAAGCUACUGCCAUAUUUUAUUGCUGUUGCAAAUGGAGCAAUCAAUGAAGUUGUUGUGAGAAAAGGAAAUGAAGCUGUACUCAGAGCUCGUUAUGAAGAUGCAAAGUUCUUUUACGAGCUGGACACAAGUAAGAGAUUUUCUGAAUUCCGAAAUCAACUGAAAGGGAUCCUUUUCCAUGAAAAACUGGGGACCAUGCUGGACAAGAUGACACGAGUCCAAAGUUUGGUUACAGAAAUUGGAUUGUCUCUGGAGACAACUGAAGAUACACUCCGAGUUGUUCAAGAUGCUGCAUCAUUAGCUAUGUCAGAUCUCUCAUCUGCAGUCGUUACAGAGUUCACCUCCCUUGCUGGGGUGAUGGCACGUCACUAUGCUCUGAGAGAUGGCUAUUCGGAGCAGAUUGCUGAUGCACUGUUUGAGAUUAUGCUUCCACGAUUUUCGGGUGAUAUACUUCCCAAAACCGUUGCUGGGACAGUAUUGGCAAUUACUGACAGGUUGGACAGCCUGGUUGGAUUGGUUGCUGCUGGUUGUCAGCCUAGCUCUGCUAAUGAUCCAUUCGGUCUGCGAAGAAUCUCUUACGGUCUAGUACAACUGUUAGUAGAAACCGAUAAAAAUUUGGGACUCAGGCAUUUGCUGGAACUUGCUGCUGCAAUUCAGCCCAUAAACGUUGAAUCAAAAAUAUUAGAUGAUGUGCAUCAGUUUGUAACAAGGAGACUUGAACAACUUUUGAUUGACCAAGGAAUAAGUCCAGAUAUAGUUCGCUCUGUUCUUGCAGAGCGUGGCAAUUUGCCUUGUCUGGCAGCCAGGUCUGCGCAUAAGAUGAAAAUUUUAUCAGAAGGAGAGCUGCUACCCAAAAUUAUUGAGGCGUAUUCCCGCCCAACAAGAAUAGUCCGUGGAAAAGAGUCCACUCAUGAUCUUGAGGUGGAUGAGGCGGCUUUUGAAACAGUGGAAGAGAGAAAUUUAUGGAGCACUUAUACAUCAUUAAGGAGUAAAAUUCAUUCUGACAUGGAAGUCGAUGACUUUGUUGAAGCAUCUUCCUGUCUAUUGCAGCCUCUGGAAGAUUUCUUUAACAAUGUAUUUGUGAUGGUGGAAGAUGAAAGAAUCAGAAAAAACAGGCUUGCUCUCCUUCGAAAUAUAUCACUUCUUCCAAAGGGAAUAGUAGACCUCUCUAUUCUUCCUGGAUUCUAAAACUAGUCACGUCUAACUUACAAAGCUCAGUUUGUGGAACCGUUUCAAUAGAAAACGAGAGAGCAAGGUCGUCAGCAACAGGAAAACUACGGCUAGCACGUGUAAGUUUUGCGAGGCUCGUAAGGGAGAUAGGCUCUGGGAUGUGCCUGCUGACGUGACAUGAAAAAAUAGAAAUAGACUCUGAGAUGGGCUCCGGAGAUAGGCUCUUAUUGUGAAUGCAGUACGGAAUAGGGAUCCACGUACAAAUCAAUGAGUCAUAACAGGAAAGAUCAACCGGCUAAGUCCCAUGUUCGUGCUGGCACAACUCUUAUAACUUGCAAUCGUCAAAGUGGCUAAUUCGCGGGAGUAACCAGCCAACCGCAAUGGGGCCUUCAUUGACGAUGGUGUAUUCGUGCAAGUCCCUGGCUCCGCCGCUGCACAGCUCUUAUGGCGCGCACUUCACACCACAUCUACACGACUACACAUAAAGCUAUAAUUUUUUGGGUGGCUCAUUUUGCACAAGUUUUUGGCUGGUUCAUCUGUGUAGGACUCGAUAUGUUUUUUUUUUUUUGCAGUUUUAUGAGACCAAUUUUUGAAUUUUAAACCGUGAUUGAAAGUUAAAUUUUGCUGGAACCUUCGAAUGUGGAUCAAAAUAUAUUAUUUAGAACUAAAA